CAGCGUUAAGUUUAAACAGGAUGAGCCAGAGGACGCCCAGCACCCAAAACCUGAGGAGGAGCUCCAUUAUGCCAGCAUCGACUUCAGGAAAUCACAAGCAGAGGCCACGAAGCAAGACACACCAGACUCAUCUCAGCCCAACCCAGCACAGGAAAACACUGUCUACGCCUCAGUGAACCACCAGCAACUCAGUACUGCCCCCCAAGACAGUGAGUGACAGUAACAUCUAGGAAGGCCGACCAGGAUCCAGUGUAGCCAGAUGGACUGUAUAGGCUCACCAUCUAAAG